rnacentral:lncRNA from 7 species
GACCGAAAAGAAAGUACGACGCAACUACAUUCGUACGGAAGAUGUUUAUUUGUGAUUAUAAUUUCGUGUCGCAUGAAAAUACAGUAUUAAUAAAUAAAUAGGUACACGAAUCUGGUACGCAUUGUAUCGUUGCUUACUGCCAGUUAUAAAUAAGCAGUUUCCCUUUUGUAAUUACAUCGAUGACAACAUCUAUACAUACAUGUGGGAAUUAAAAUGAUUAGAAAUUGAUGAUGUGGUGCUAAUAAUGUGGUAGUACGUACGUCUUUUUUAUUUAUUCUGGGUCCGCUGCCUUCGUGUGCAUGUAGAGAUUAUAUGGAGAAAUAAAUUUCGGGGUUGUGUGUGGUCUCCAUACCGUAUGGCAUAUUGGCAUUGCACGAUUGCUUGGGUCUUCCUCGUGCCCUCUUGCUGGGAAGAGUAGCGUGAGGUCGUGAUUGUUCAGCAGCCCAUAGAGAUGCAUGGAUGAACAGCGGCGUUGCAAGAGGCACAUGCCAUGUUGAUGGAUUUAUCUAGGGCCAAGGCCAAUAUUGGAUUGCUUUAGUUUUCUUUUAAUUCAAUUUCAUGGGUACAGACAUGCACAAACACACCAUAUGUAUUUUUUUUAUAAAUACACGCACAUAAAUCUUACAUUGUGAGUGCAUUAGUGUUAAUAGUUCACAGCUAAAAAAUUAGCAAAUGGAAACCCAAACAGAUUUAUUAGAUACAUAUGUUAACUGGGCUACAAAUAAUUAGUUCAUAUAUAUGCACUCCAACCAACUAUCCAACCGCCUAUUGGUACGCACAGACCAACACCGCUAAUAAUCGAACUCUAUUUGGUCGCAGCGCUCACAUCCUUCUCCUGUUUGGUUUGCAUGAACUAGUUCAUCAUCUUCUCGCUCCUUUUUUUUGUUUGCUCUGUACAAUGAAAUAAGUUUAUCCAUCACCAACUCGUUUCUCAUAGCUAGUUAGUUAGUCCUAAUGUGAGUAACGGGGAUCAUCCCAUCAAAUUUGAGAAAUUGACUCACGAUGCACUAUCUCAUUGUGAAUAGAGUGAUUCGUCAAACCAAACACCCUCCCUAGCUACUCUAGUUCUAACUCCACUCAAAUAUAACUCCCCUACCAAUUCCAAUGUUUAGAGUGUCUGUAUCAUACGGUAUAAGGUAAUAAUCUGUAUUGUUGAUUACAUUGUUUACAAAGUGAAUUUGGAAUAGAGGAUGAGAUAAAGUAGUUGUUAGAGACUAGAUGUUUUCUUGAUUAUUCUAGUACUCAUUUAUUUUUGUUUUAAAAAAUCAUCAUUUUUUAUAAAACUAUAUAUGAAUUUUGUCGGAAAACACGGGAUUUCAUCAAGAAAUCCGAAUUCCUUUUUUAAUAAAAGUAUAUACACAUUGCAAGCAACGAAUUUCGAGAAAAAAACG